rnacentral:rRNA from 1 species
AUUGAACGCUGGCGGCAGGCCUAACACAUGCAAGUCGAGCGAGCGGCGGACGGGUGAGUAAUGUCUGGGAAACUGCCUGAUGGCGGGGGAUAACUACUGGAAACGGUAGCUAAUACCGCAUACCAUCAGAUGUGCCCAGAUGGGAUUAGCUAGUAGGUGGGGUAAUGGCUCACCUAGGCGCCGAUCCCUAGCUGGUCUGAGAGGAUGACCAGCAACACUGGAACUGGGACACGUACCGUACUCCGACGGGAGGAAGCAGUGGGGAAUUUUGCGCAAGGGGCGCAAGCCUGAUGCGGCCAUGCGGCGUGUGUGAAGAAGGCCUUCGGGUUGUAAGGCACUUUCAGCGGGGAGGCGUUACCCGCAGAAGAAGCACCGGCUAACUCCGUGCCAGCAGCCGCGGUAAUAC